rnacentral:piRNA from 1 species
UGAGAAAUUCCUUAGGUAGCAGAAGUA